AACAAGUCCAGAGCCCUGCGGUUUGCAUCCCUGGAUGGAGUCUGUCAGCCAAGUGAAAAUCUGUUGAGGCAAAUAUAGACUCGGGACAGAAGGAUCCCGGAGGCCCUCAUUCACACCGUGGAAUCCCAGUCCCCCCAACAGCUUCCGUGCUGGGGCUUCUUUUAGGAAUACCAAACGCGAGUUCUGGAGGCCAAGACCUGAAGGCCUGCACAGGGCGCCCAAGCCCACCAGGGGGUAGUGUCUACCCGUGCGGAGAGGCCCCGGGAGGCCCAAGCAGAGGAAGGCAGAGGCCAGACCUUGAUGGGCAGUGCAGACGUGCACAAGAGAACAUGCUGGCCUCAGACCAGGCCUGGAGCGUGCAGGACCCUGCGUGUACCUAGGUGUGGCCUCAGGUGCCAGACGCUCAGCUGGUCGCUCUGACUUCCGGACCUCUGAUGAUUUCCCUGGCACUCUGCAAUCCUCUGUCCAUGGCGGGAAGCCUAGCAGUUUGUCUUCUUUAUAGCCUGCAUCUUUAGAGGUGUUAAGGUCCCCUAGCUGUCAGUGGGAGGGUAUUUUCUGGGACCACUAGAGAAAUUUCCUUCUGGCCCAGCCGGUCUCCUUUCUCCACACUCCAUGAAGAGAUGACUGGAUUCAGGGCUGGCCUACAACUAUUGCUGGGAACUCCAGAGGCCACCACAUUACUCUUAAAAAUAAAGAAGUUUGAUUAAUAAUUCAAGUUCAAGAGGAUAAGACAUCUUAAGAAGCAGGGGUUCUAACUUCCUUCUUCAUCUCUGGGGGUCCUGGAAAUGCUUGACAAUGGUACACUUUGGAUCAAACUGAGGGGGCCUCUGCCUAGGAAAGAAGGGUAAGGACUGAAGGUCCACUGUGCUGGGGUAAUGCAGGCUGGCAGCCCUGUGACUCUAGACCAUGAUCCAGGAGAACUGAUCAUGUGACUUCUAACAACAUUUGGUGAUGCUGAGUCUGUGUGACUCCAAAGCCUAGCUCCUAAGAAGCACUGUGAACAUCUUCUUGAACCCUCUUCCUGGAUCAAAGUCCACUGCUGUGUCACAAGAAGGGCAUGCGGCAGCAACUUAGGGUCACCAACAUUUCGCCCAAGUGAAUAGUCACAUGACUCACGUAGUCAGAUGACAACAUUAUGUGCAUCCUGAUUCAACUUCCUGCUAGAGCCUGAGCCUGAAGUCCCAGCCAAGCUACUCCUGGGUUCUGACCCUUAGACACAGAAACUGAAGCUCAACAGACUUCUCAAAGUCAGGUGGAGUCAGACUAUCUGAUGCACAGGAUGGUGAGAUAGAACACAUUCGUCUUUGAAGAAGCCAAGUCCAGGUUUGUGCUGACCUGGCACUGCUCCACCCAGCAUUCCAGAUGCAAAUGCGGAGAGAUGGAGAGCCUGCAAGCCACCGAUGGCUGUAGUUUGGAAAUAAAUAGCUCUGGAGCCUGGAUGCUCCUAAAGGAAGCCCGUCUCCGCUCGAGUUGGUGGAUGCUGAAGUGCUGGGAGUCAUGAACAGGUGGCUGAAGGACCAGCUUGGUCCCCCAACCUUGAUGCCUCAAGAAUGUACACAGAAAAUGGCAGUCAGCAUCCUUACAGAGUCACUAAGAAGACAAAAUUGGAGCAUCAAAGCCAUCCAGGAAGUGAAAAUACUCCAACCUGGGUCACACACAGAAAGCAGGAGAAAAAACCGUUAACAUGCAUCCUGGCUGAAUCAGUGUCUAAAAGCAGCAUUUGAAAAUAUGAAACAAAAACUUUAAAUCAUAAGUGGCAAAGCUCAGAACAAAAAUAUCCCCCAACAUCCUUAUAUACUCAAGAAAAAUGUGAAAUAAGAAUUGAAUAAACUCUGGAAAGCAAUAGAAGGAAAAAUAAAUAAAAUAAAUAAAAAUAAAUGCUAUCUUAGUACCCAUAGGACCCCAAAUCUUAUUGGAUAUGAGGAAAGUGAGAGAGGUUAACAGAAUGGAGAACAAAGCAAAGGUGGGAACAAAAGUCAUAUGGAGACCAUGUGCUAGACAUCAGUCCCAGAAGAGUCUAAAACAGAAAACACACAAUGAGAAAUAACACAUACCUAAAACUACAGGCUACAGUGAAUUUCUAUCAGGAAAUGAGGAUCUGAAGCUCCAUCUUUAAGGAUUCACAGUAUACGU
rnacentral:lncRNA from 1 species